GGCCAUGCUCCCUGUCUCCACUGAGAAGCUCCGAGAAGCCUCUGCCUGUGCCUUCGGGCACCAUCUCUCUCACCCAGGGCGCUGCUCCCCUCUGGUCCUGCAGGGGGGGUGACCCCCUCUUGCCCUUCCGGAGCCUUCUAGACCCCUCCCCUCCACGGGCCUACAGGUCUGUUUGGAAAAAUCCAUCCAGAGGAGCGUAAGGGCGGCUGCAGGGUCUGGGUCACACCCUUCAGCUCUGGAGGUGUCCCCUAGGCAGGUGGCUGUUAAACUUUAAGCCACCCCAGGCUAUUUUAGCCUCGCCCGGCUGGCGCGGCUGGAGCCCAGAGCUCAGGCUGGUUUUGAUCUUCUCUUUGCCGUCACCGUCACCCCCCUGCGAGCACACAGCCCUUUCCGCGCGAUAAUGCGGAAAUGCAAAUACACUGUCAUUUUGUGACCUAUAUUGCGAAAAUUAGAAAAAAAAAGGAAGUUCUGUUUUGCUGUCGCAUGAAGUUGGGGCCCAGAGGAGAACGGCGUGCAUUGAGGAGGCCGCUUGCCUUCACGCCCCUGCCCUGCGCCGAUGUCCCACUGACCUCCACCCCCGUCCCAAGGCAUGUGGCCAUCCCCGGAGCCUGAGCCGCCCGCCAUGUUCCCAGCCGACAGGACGGAGGAGACCCCCAGGCAAGUGUUUACGUUUUUCCUCGCUUAAAAAAAUGCCGCGCAAUGGGUUGACUUCAGCAAUGGGAAUUCCCU
rnacentral:lncRNA from 1 species